rnacentral:rRNA from 1 species
ACGUAGGGGGCAAGCGUUGUCCGGAAUUACUGGGCGUAAAGCGCACGCAGGCUGAAUUAUAAGUCGGUAGUCAAAGGCGGAGGCUCAACUUCCGUUUAUCUAUCGAAACUGUAAAUCUAGAGUAUGUGAGAGGGAAGUGGAAUUCCCGGUGUAGCGGUGCAAUGCGUAGAUAUCUGGAGGAAGAGCAGUGGCGAAGGCGGCUUCCUGGCACAAUACUGCCGCUCAUGUGCGUAAGCUAGGGCCGCAUACGU